rnacentral:rRNA from 1 species
UACGGAGGGGACUAGCGUUGUUCGGAAUUACUGGGCGUAAAGCGCACGUAGGCGGAUUUGUAAGUCAGGGGUGAAAUCCCGAGGCUCAACCUCGGAACUGCCUUUGAUACUGCAAAUCUCGAGUCCGGAAGAGGUGAGUGGAAUUCCUAGUGUAGAGGUGAAAUUCGUAGAUAUUAGGAAGAACACCAGUGGCGAAGGCGGCUCACUGGCCCGGAACUGACGCUGAGGUACGAAAGCGUGGGGAGCAACAGG